UACAGAGGUCUCAAGCGUUGUUCGGAUUCAUUGGGCGUAAAGGGUGCGUAGGCGGCGCGGUAAGUCGGGUGUGAAAUCUCGGAGCUCAACUCCGAAAUGGCAUUGGAAACUACCCUGCUUGAGGGUCGGAGGGGGGACUGGAAUUCUCGGUGUAGCAGUGAAAUGCGUAGAUAUCGAGAGGAACACCAGUGGCGAAGGCGAGUCCCUGGACGACUCCUGACACUGAGGCACGAAAGCUAGGGGAGCAAACAGG
rnacentral:rRNA from 1 species